GACUUAUCAACCACAUCAGAUGUUUUGAUGUGGCUUGGACAUGGGGGUUUCUUUGCAGGCAUUUUCUUCUACAGAAGAAAGGUCGGCUCCCCUGAAAUGUAUUAGUGGUAUCUGAGCUACUGCUAUAGGUGUGAUAAUUAUCUAUGCCUUUGGUAUGCUGCAUGAACAGAUUGCGCUGCUUAUAACAACAAAACAAUUGUAUUUGACAA
rnacentral:misc_RNA from 1 species